AGAGUUUGAUCCUGGNUCANGACNAACGNGGGNGGNNUUCUUAACACAUGCAAGUCGAANNACCCCNCCUUUGGGGGGUUNAUNNGGGGCANNGGGUUAAAAANNGGGGGCCNUUUCCCCNCUUNNNUUNGGNNNANNNCCCGAAAAAAGGGGGNUAUAANACCGGAUAACACUCUGUCCCGCAUGGGACGGGGUUAAAAGCUCCGGCGGUGAAGGAUGAGCCCGCGGCCUAUCAGCUUGUUGGUGGGGUAAUGGCCUACCAAGGCGACGACGGGUAGCCGGCCUGAGAGGGCGACCGGCCACACUGGGACUGAGACACGGCCCAGACUCCUACGGGAGGCAGCAGUGGGGAAUAUUGCACAAUGGGCGAAAGCCUGAUGCAGCGACGCCGCGUGAGGGAUGACGGCCUUCGGGUUGUAAACCUCUUUCAGCAGGGAAGAAGCGAAAGUGACGGUACCUGCAGAAGAAGCGCCGGCUAACUACGUGCCAGCAGCCGCGGUAAUACGUAGGGCGCAAGCGUUGUCCGGAAUUAUUGGGCGUAAAGAGCUCGUAGGCGGCUUGUCACGUCGGAUGUGAAAGCCCGGGGCUUAACCCCGGGUCUGCAUUCGAUACGGGCUAGCUAGAGUGUGGUAGGGGAGAUCGGAAUUCCUGGUGUAGCGGUGAAAUGCGCAGAUAUCAGGAGGAACACCGGUGGCGA
rnacentral:rRNA from 1 species